rnacentral:lncRNA from 1 species
AACUAAGGUAUGACUUGCUUUUUGUGUUGAUGUGGUGAAUGAUAAUGCUUAGAUGGUGUUUAACGAGUCAUUUUUCUUUUGGCUUAGAUCAAAUUUCCUUGGAACCAAGUUCACUGUGUAUGAUGCUAUUCUACCUUAUGCUGGAGCCAAAAUGGUGAAAAGCCGUUCUGCUAGGCUUGUGGGCUCAAAACAAAUGAAUCCUAGAGCUCCCGCUGGAAACUAUGAAGUUGCUCAUAUUUCGUACGAGUUGAAAAAUUCUACCUUAUGCUGGAGCCAAAAUGGUGAAGAGCCGUUCCACUAGGCUUAUGGGCUCAAAACAAAUGAAUCCUAGAGCGCCCGCUGGUAACUAUGAAGUUGCUCAUAUUUCGUACGAGUUGAAUGUACUUGGAGCCAGGUAAGGCUUGCUUUUCUUGCAAAAGGUUAGAAGAGACUUCUAAUAACUGCUCUUUUUCG